CCUGUUGGGUGAAUAAUCAUUUUUCAUAAGAAAAACUGAUUGCGCAAAAAAAAACGAACAGGGGUAAAAUUUUAAUAUUUUUUAUUUUCUUUUUUUCAAAUGAUUGAGUCUUCCGACAUCGAAUUUAUAAUAAAUACGACAUACAUUAACUUUUGUAACUGUUUAAUUUUUUAAAUUCGUACAAAAAAACGGCGUUCGAUAGGAUAGUAAACUGUUACGCCAGGGGUAAUUAUUUCAUAUAGUCACUUUUUUUUAAAAGAUUAAAAAAAAAUAAAAUUGAAAAAAUUGAAAUUUUUGGUCUCUGACAAUGAAAUUAUGAUGAAUACGACAUUCACUAUCCUAUGUACCUGUCUUUUUUUUUUAAUCUUGAAAAUGGGUAGUCGAUAAGAUAGCAAACCGUUACAGUAAUUUGUAUACAUUCCAGCCCUGACAAAACUCAACAAUAUAAAUGAAAACUUGGCUCAAUCUGAAUAAGGCUGUAAUAUAUGAUAUUCUCUAAGAACCUGUUUCUUUUCUUACUUAUAAAUAUUAUUAACUAAUAGCUCAUUGCACUUUUUUAUGACACCAAUUCAGAAAUAAUGUUAGUUACAAAUUACUUGAUAGCAAUAAGUGUGUGUAUAAGUAAAUUAAAAACUGUAUAGUCUAUUACAGUCCUUUUGGUUAUUCAGUAUGUUAUAUUUAAGCUGACACACUAUAGUUUAUAAUCCAAAUAUCCUCGGAGGCAUAUGACUUCAUCAAAAUCAUCCAGUUUCUCCAGCAUAUUAUCCUAAAUUGAACUUUUUCAAGUUUAUUAGUCAAAAGUAUUAAAUAUAAACACUAUCACCACACCUAUGCAAGUCAAAUGGAACUUUGUUUGCCACAAUUUUUAAUGAAAAACAUGCUUCCACAAGAUCAAAAACUUGCACUUUCCCAAGUGAUAGUACGUUUUUUUGGCGUCAAAUUCCUCUUCACUUCGCAAUAAGUAUAAUGCAGGUAUUUAAUGUUCUAAGAAGAAGAAUCACAUGAUAGGAGGCCAAGUAGUAAAUUACACAAAGUUAGUUAUAGUGUUUCUUAAUCAGUAUCAGGAAGUAUCAUCCUAGGUCCUUUGUAGUUAUAUCUUAAAGCUUCAAAUAUACUAAAGAACUCACAACUCACAAAUUAAUAACUUUUGGCAAACUAUCGAUAAAUAUAAACUAUUUAUUG